UCUACUUUUUUACUAUUACAAGUGGUAUUUAGUGAAUAUCAUCACACAUGUCUCUUUGGGUAGGAACCAAGGUAUGGAGUUGCUGGAUUAAGAAUACAUAGGUCUUCAGUUUACUAGGUGUUGCCAAAUGGUUCUUUAAAACAGCAGUGCAGACUACAUGUAUACUUCCCAUUGCAUCUGAGUAUGGAGUUCCAGUGGCUCCACGUCCUCACAGAUCUUGGUAUUGUAAAUCUUUUUUUUUUAAAUCAUGUCCCAUCUUCCCAUGGCAGAUAGAGAGAACUGUCUAAUAUCAUGCCUGACUAUGUCCCUUCCCUGUUUAAAAUCCUCCAGUCCUCCCCUACUGCUCUCUGUUGUACCACCUAGAGUCUUGCUCUGCAUAAACUAAUCCAUGUCCACUUCUCCAGACUCACCUCUCUAUCCCCUCCUAUUCCAACACUCACGAGUACACACACAAACGUACGCACGCAUGCAUGCACACACACACACGCAUGUGCACAUGCUACAGUCCAAUCAAGCCAAACCAUGUUUGUUCAUGUCCCCUAACCUACUUGCCUUCCCUUGUCUUUGGGGAUAUUCUUUUCUUCUUCUUCAGAGGGCUGGUUCCUACCAGCCCUCAGCUCUCAGCUUGAGAUCUCCUCCCUUGGGAAGCUUCUGCAGGCAUCCCAGGCCUGAGUUGGAUGCCCUUCCUCGCAGCACCCUUGACUUCUGGCAUUGCGGUUCUCAGCACAUUGUCUUACAGUUGCCUGUUAAUCACCUCCCCGCCCCACUAGACUGUGGACACCUUGAUAGCAGGGCCCAUGUGGAGUUUCUCGCUGGAGUGUGCUCUGUGCCCAACCUACCUACUGAAUGAAUUUGUUAAAUAAUCCACGGACAGGAGACAGGUCCACAGUGAGCAGAGGCAGCCAGAUGGGGAGCAGCUGGGAAUCAGACUGGAUAGGAGGUGCUGCCCCACCAUCUUCGUAACCCCAAUUUUCAGGAAAGGAGACAAGGGCUCAGCCAGGGGGCUGACCUGUCUAGAAUCAUGCAGCUUUGAUUCCCAGUCUCCUGACUCUGUGUCUGGGCCCUCUCUGCUGCCCCUCAGCUGCAGUCAAUGGGAAGGAGGCAGUAGAGAGGGAGAGACAGGGCUACCAGGAAGAGAAGGCUGAGCAGAAGAGGGAGCCCUUGGGAUCUAGGUUGCAGGUGGAGAGCUUGGCCCAGCAGAUAUGACCCUGGAUCCUCUGAGCCAGUGAGGAAGGAAGAACAUUGGGCCAGACUUCUAGAUCAGGCCCUUGUUCAGGCUGUCCUGGGAGACUUGAAUGGGCCAGGUCCUUCUCUGGGGAGGAGCAGUCUUGGGGCAAGCAACCGAGCACGUCCCUCAGCUCCCAGCCCACCCGAGUGGCCUCUUCCUGCUGCAUCAGGAGAAUGAUUUCUCAAGACCCCCUGUGAUAAGAGGGAGACUGGAGCCAAGGGCAGCUGGGAAGAAAUAGGAGCCUAAUACAAACAGGCAGGAGCUGGCCCGGGGCCCAGGCCCUGAAUGGAGAGUACUCAGCUCAGGCCCACAGACUCCACCCAGGUCACCGGGCGUCUAGAGGAACUCACAUGUGCCAGGGCAAGUGGACAUCAGCAAAAUGGGGACAAUAAUACCCAUACCUCAUGCGAUUAUCGUGAGGAUGAGGUAAGAUAAAAUGUGUAAAGGGGCUAGAAUAAUGCUCAGCACAUUAUAUCACUCAGUCAGCUCUAGUUAUUAUCAUCUUCUUACAGGGCUGUCAGGAGGAGUGAACAGGAUGAUGUGGUGGAUGAACGUGUAAAGCUGUGUAAAUGUUGGUAAACAGUCUUUCGUCAGGAACUCCAUAAAUGAGUGUGGACGACGUGGAAGCCAGUGGACAGAGGGAAGGCGUGUGGACUUGAGUGACCAAUCGCCCUCCUCUGUUCCUUUGGUUUCUUCUUCUGACACCUGCAUCAGAGACUACACCAGUCGGUUCUGGAAGGAUGCUGAGAGAUGGCCCAGGACAAUCCUCCAGCUUCACACAAGGAGAAACCGAGGCCCGCAGGCUGGAAGUGACCUGUCUAGGGCUGCCCACAAGAUCUGGGAGGACAAUACCAGAGUCCCCAGGAGCUGGUCUGGCCUCCAGGGGCUUUCUGAUCUCCAAAAUGCCCCUCCUUCACUCCAGUCUGUCCAGUUGACGUCAGCGGAGCAUCUGGAGUGCUGGCCUUGGCAUCCAAAGGUGAAGAACCUAUCCUGGGCCGGGGGCCACUUGUUGGUAAGAGAAGAGGGGUGCUGCGGGCUCCCUGGGCGGGAGCUGUGAACCCGGACGAGAGGACGCGCUGGCUGCAUGGGUUUGCCUGCUACUGGAGCCAGUGCAGUUGGUCGUAGGGAAUUUGAUGAAAAUAAUCAGCUGCAGACUCCUAAAAAACAAACAGACGAUGAUCCAGAGGUUUGAAUAACAGCCCCCUCAGCCAGAUGGCCACAGGAGCCUUGCCAGGGAGAAAAAACGAUCUCCCACCCUGAAUUUCCUCUUUGUUCUGGACCCUGCUCUCUUUGGACAUCCUCAGUCCCCCGUUCCUUUCGUGCGCCAGCCACCCGGAGUCUUGUGUUCAGCUUGCUAAAGGCAGCUUUCCCCAGAUUAGGAUUUGGAGACAGGGAAUCCGGGCAAAGAAGGGGCUUUCUUGUCCCAGCAUGAGUCACCCGAGACUGGAGGAAGCACACAGCUGUCUGCAUCUGGGCCUGGAAUGCUGCUUCCUCCUCUGGGGACACUCACAAGAAUCCCGGGAACCUUGUUGGUGCAGAGCAGGAAGUCGACUAUAAGCAGGGCCGCCCUGUGUGGGGCAAGCCCUCUGGACACCUCAGUCUUCGCCAAGAGACCACAUCCAAGCUAUUGGGAAACUGAAUGCUAGCCUGUUUCCACAUUAAAUUGCUACCACGCCUGGAGCACAUGGUGGCCAGUGUGUCCUGCCAAACUCAGCCUCCCUAUGGUUCCAAUAAGAGCAUCCAUGUAAGAGUGAGGCCAGUGUGGCUUUGGAUCCUUGCUCUGUCACUGUGAAACUUUGGGCAACUUCUUUGACCUCUCAGCCUCCGUUUCUACAUCAUUGCAUUUUAGUGAGACUAGUAAAGAAAUUACAUUUUCAGUGCAUGUAGCACAGUAUCUGGCACAUAGCAGGCAUUCUAUAAAUGUUGUUUCCUCCCUCCCAUCCCUCUUGUCCAGAGCCUUUGGUACUAAUUUCUCCUAUUACCCAUUUCUGAAUACUCUCACUGAUCCAUGAUUUAAUGUUUCAUUCUUGGCUUUGGGCAAAGCUUCCAGGUACAAUCCUCUCCCAUUUUUCCCUGAAUGGAUUGCCAUCUCUCCUCCAUGGUUAGAUUAGCUACUCUGUUUGCCAGUAUGUAGUUUGACUUCCUAAGGUACUAUGAAUUCUGUUUGGAAGGAGACUAGGCAGGAUAUGAUUAUGUGACAUCUCAUCAGGCUCACUUAACUUACGAGUCUACUUAGAACUUUCCUUCCCUAAUAAGCAGUAAUGCCAUUAAAAAAACUUAUCAACAAAAACAUCUAUGAAUACAUAUUAAGAUUAUAAAGUGUAUUAGUCAGGAUUGGCUGGGUUUUGCUGCAGUAACACACACCUCCCAAAUAUGAAUAGCUUAAAACAGCAAAGGUUUAUUUCCCCCUUAUAUUACAAGUCCAUUGUAGAUCAGUGGUGUCCCUGCCCCACACUGACCUCUCUUGGACACUCAGGAUUCACCAUCUGGAAUGUUGUUGGCACUGCAGCCAAGGGAAGAGAAGAUGAAGAGUUGCUUAGCAUUUAGCAGAACUUGAACACCUCUGCCCAGUAGUAACACACAUCACUUCACAUUUCAUUGACUAAAGCAAGUCACAUAAUCUUGCCUAACCUCAAGGGAGUAAACACAAUCUAUUGCAUUCAAGGCAGGAGACAACUAGAAACAUUGAUGAACAACACUAAUGUUGACCCCAUAGAAGCUCAAUGUUUUGAGAAGAACAGAGGAAACCAUGCAGGCAAGUAGAAAUGCUGAAAUUCCACCCCUGCCAGCCACCACUGGGGAUUUGCUAGUCAUUUGGAAAACAGAAUAUGCCCGGAUGUUUGCACAAAGAAUUUCCUUCAUUCUAUUUCUGUGGUCCUAAGUUUCCAAUGUGUAUAGGAAUUAUUUGAUGUUGCACAGCAUUGUACAUACAAUCCUAAAGGGUUUUCAAAGUGUUUUAAAAAUACACAAUUUUCCCUGUCUGCUAAAUUUAGAACCUGACCUAUUUAGGAUAUGAUUCUACACUAUUUAAUUGAUACUAGCGCCUGACUUUAUUAUUUUAAACCACUUUGUUAAAGUAUGAUUGACAUACAAAGAGUGGUACAAUUUAAUUAUAUAACAUGAUGAGUUUGGAAAUAAGUAUAUGUCCACAGAACCAUUAUCACAAUCCAUGCCACAAACAUACCCAUCACUUCUAGAAGUUUCCUCCAAUCCUCUUUCGUUGCCUGAGUUUAACUGUCCCAACAUUUCAUUGCCUUCUCCUCUUCUGUGCUUUACUUACAACCUGAGGGGCCACUCCAUCUCUGAAUCCGAUUGCAGUUGAUAUUUCUUUGAUUUGUGUAUGUACUUUAUAAUAAGAGUUUAUACCAAAACUCAAAAAAUAGUCUUCCAUAUAUAAUAUCAUUUAGUAAUUCUUACCAUAACUCUAAGGAGUUGGUUUAUUAAUGGAUCAUUUGCAUAAUACUGAUGAACUAAUGAAUGCUCAGAGAGGGUAAAUGACUUGCCCAAAGACAUGCAGUACAGAUGUGUUGAAGUCAGGUUUUAACCUAAUUGUGUCUGCCUUCAAAUUCUGGGGCUUUCUCAUUAUCCCAGGCUGCCUUUGGACCUGAACAAGGAGAUCCUGUUUGGGAGAGGAACUAAACUCUGCUCUGGAAAUCUCACAAGAGGGAGUGAGAGAUUCAGGUCCGUAGACCCCUUCUCCCCACGGCCAUCCCUGUGAGUCAGGGCACUGCAAUCAAUGGAACCCCAGUUUCCGCAGGAAUGCUCUGGGCACACAACAUUCCAGAACCUGGACGUCCAGGAAUUCCUGUCAAUUAGGCAUUUAUUCCUGGAAUAAACAUUUCCCUGAAGAGCCCUCCACAGCUUGCUGAUGUCAUGGUCCUGCCACAGUUGGUCUAGGUGAUAAAAGGAAUUGGAUUGUUGGUGUGUAAUGUGUGUGGGUGUGUAAGCUGGGUUCUGUGUGGGGUGGUGUUGUGUAAGCCUUUCUUGAUGUGCAGUCAUCAGAUAAAAUCCAGGAUGCGCAGUUAAAUUUUAAUUUCAGAUGAACAACAAAGUAAUUUUUAGUAUGAUAAGUCUGUCCUGUGCAAUAUUUGGAACAUACUUAUUAUACUAAAAGAUAAUUUGUCGUUCAUCUGAAAUUCAAAUUUAACUGGGCACUUUAUGCUUUUAUUUGCUGAAUGUGACAACUAUAUCUAUGUGCAUGUGUGUUGGUAUAAAUGGGCUUCCUUGUUUGUGUCUCAGGUUCACCUGAGGGUGUGUGUGUGUCCGUGUGCAUAUGGGGUCUGUGUGCAUGUGUCUCCCAGCUGGGGAAGAGUCAGCAGGUGGGUGGGAACAGACAGCUCCACCACCCAAAAACUCGUCUCCCAUGAGGCCUACCCUGCUCGAGGAAGUGAGGUCAGGAUGGGCUGUGAACGCCAGGCCAGGGAGUGUGGACUUUCUCCUGAGGGCCGUGAGGAGCCAUGGAAGGCUCUAAGCUGAGUUGGGUCAGCUUUAGACAUGUGCCAGAGACACCCCUCUGGCUGUGUGGCCGAGAAAGCUCUGGAGAAGGCCACUUGAGAAGGGAGCUGAGGAGCCUGGGAGGGAGGCAUUGAGGAUGAGGAUCUGGGCUUAGGCCUUGGUGGUGGAGAUGGAGGGAAAGGGGCAAAUGGCAGGACUUGAACAUUCCUGCUGGGGUUGAAGGAGGGGGAAUUGGAGGUGACACUAAGCUUUGUGCUUGGGCAUCAGAUGGACUAUGGGCUCCUCGAGGGUUUAUCUUGCUCCCUUCCUCAUCCUUGAUGUUGGGCAUGGUGCCUGGCUUGUAAUGGAUGCUGUCUGGGUGUUUUGGGCGUGAAUAUGUGCAUAUGUGAAUAAGAGAAACGGGAACACGGGAGGAAGGGAGGAGGAGGCAGGGGAGGACGGAGAGGUCUGGGGAAGAAGCUGACCUCGGGGGAGACGUCCAGCAGGCGGUUAACUGUAUGGCCAGCUCAGGGGAGAGGUCCAGGCUGGGGGAGCAAAUUCAGGGGAUAUGAGUGGGUAGAAAAGGUAAGAAACCACCAGCUGGGGUCAGAUCACUGCAGGAAGGAGAAGGUAGUGGCGGAGGAAGGAAGCUUGGGGGAUGGCGGCAUUUAGGGAGCUGCAGGCAGAAGUCUGAGAGGGUCAGUGGAUUCCCCCUCGCAGGGCUGCUGGGGUUCGGUGAGGCUCCCGUGGGGCCUGGGAGCUCCAGGAGGGCCAGCCAAGGGUGAUAAGCAGAACAUUUAACAGGCACUGACCAGUCAGGUCUGGCUGGGCCACCAACCGGUGCCAGGUCUUCUGGGCUCCCAGCUGUGCUGGAGUCAACUCUUGGGUGGCUGGAUCCUGGGGAAGGUUGCAGGGAGGAUGGGAAGAGGGCCUGGGGCAGCUGGGGAAGGUGGCAGGCACUUGGGAGCGCGGGGCAGCUGCUCUGUAAACAGAAACAUAUGAAUAUUUUAACAAAUGGACAGUUCUAUAGGGACAUCCUGGUGCAUGUCGGCCCUGGGGACUGACAGUAUCAUGCAUUUCAUUCCUGGCUGUGGCCUCGCAUUAGGCCAGCACCCAGCAGUGAGUAAACGAGAGUUCACAUCAGGUCCGAGCCCCGUGCCUGGUCUAUAAUAGGCUCUCAAUAGGUGUGCUUUCUGUUCUUCUUUUCAGGGACUAAAGAUGCUUCCAUAGUUUCAAGGAAUUUCCUCCUCUGAGCAUAAUUUUUCUAUUUUAGAAAAUCAAAUUUCCUUUCACUUGGGAAGGCUAUACUUUCUGCCGUUGAAUUCCUGGGAAUUUCAAAGGCUGCAAACUUGCUGUGGCUCAGGGGACAGCCGGAGCACAAGUGAACAAUGGCCCAUCUUGAGGGACAGCUCCCGUGAGGGUCGCCCCUCUGGUAGCCUCCCCUUCCUUCCGAAACAGCCCUGUCAUCUGUCAGGAGCGGGGGCAGUGUCUGUGCUGUGUAAGUGUUUGCUGUGAUUAUUUUUGUUAUUACUGUCCUUGGGCCUGGUGUUUCCUCAAACUGAAUCAUUUCUGUGACUCUAAAGCUUAGUUUAUUUUAUUUUAUCCAAGCCUCAGAUUAAUACCUCGAUGGCUUUGGAUUCCCGAACGGGGUCACGCUGCAACAACUAAUUCCAACACAGUUUCUUUCCGGUGAUUUUUAAACACUCACACCACAGAGGAAGGUAGGCUUCCUUCAAGAGCUCACUUAAUUUAGAUAAAUAUUUGGCCUUGUGAAUAUACAAACAGUCCUAAAAUGUGCCUUCUCCUAGGUGUAGGAUCUCAAAAGGGUUUUCAGGAUUCACCGCAUAUUCAUUCAGUUACUGAUUUGUCCACUUAGUCGUUCUCACCAGAAGGUCCAUGAGGGUAGGGCUCUUUGUUUUGUAAACCCUGAGGCAGAACAGGGCCUGCCACAUGUCAGUGUUCAGGGCAUAUUUGUUGAACGAAUGAAUGAGUGAACGAGCAUCUUCUCGGUGCCAGGGUGCCUGGCAUUAGAAAGUCAGAAUAGGACACAAUUCCUGCUGUCCACGGGCUUCUGGUCUUGGAGAAGAACGCCCCACUCCCCCCACCAUUUACCUGAAAUUCAAAGCAAACCAAUGCACCCCCCCCCCCAUGGGAUAUGUAAACACCCUGUAUGGUCACAGGAGCUGGGCGGGAGGAAUGACAGUGCUAUUGGGAAUACCAGGGAAGGUGUCCCAGGAGAGGUGGCAUUUGAGUUGGGGUUGAUUUCAGCAUGAGGAGUUGGCAGAAGGGAAACAGAAGGAGCCAAGAUCCAGGGUGAGAAAGCUUGGUGUAGUCCAGGAAGUUGCAGGAAGGCCACCUGGGUUGCGCAGGUCACUGGAAUGAGUAUCAGCUCCAGGAGGUCAGGGGCUGUGUCUGCCUUGUCAGUUGCUACGUGACACCGCAUCUGGCACAGAGCAGGCUCUCAGCAAAUUGUAGCUUUAGAAUGAAUGAGUGACAUGAGGCUGGAAAGAGGAGAUGGGACCUGGCAAUCUUUUUUGGAGGUUUGUUUGGCAACCACAAUGGGUUUCAUUGUCCCCUUCCAUCCUCUGUAGAUGCUUGUGUCUUUUCUUAAGUUCAACCCCAGUCACCACUGUGACACCCCACCGAGGGAUCUUGUACUUUCGGUUGGGAUGCCCCUCAGUAAUGGGGUGCUCACUCCCGCCCACACAGCUGGUCCCUUUUUGUAUAGAUCUGAUUGUUUGAAUAGCCAGCCUUACACUCACCACACAAUCGGACGGGCAGCAGGGACAGAGCAUUAAACUUGGUUUGGCUUCUGGCCCUGCCCCUGACUCCUGUAAUCCCUUGGGCAGGGCGGGCGUAACCAGUGAUUACAAGUGUCGGCUUCGGCAUCUGACGGUUACUGACAUCUCUGUGCCUUCACUUUCUUAUCUGUAAAACCAAGAUGGUAAUAAUAGUACUUUCCUCACCAGAUCCAGGUGGGAAUCCUGAGUUCUCAGUACCUUAUUGGCAAGUUAGUAAGUGUUCAGUACAAGUCAACCAUGAUUUAUAGUGUUAGCACUUCCUUUCUGGCUCUUGGUUUCUCCCUCUGUAUAACAGGAACAAGAACCCCUGAUUGGAUGUCUCAGGCGGCUGGUGCAAGAAGCCAGAGAGAAUGGGUGAGAGGCACCCACGGGGUCGGGAUGAGGACACAGAGACCAGAGAGGUGGAGUGACUUACCCAAGGAGCUGGCAUUUGAAGCAAAUUCUAUUCAUGUUCCGUCUGUGCUCUUUGUCCAUCAUUCUCUCAACUCCAGUGGAUCAGAAUCUCUUGGAAGGUUGGUGAAAACACUGAUGGCUGGGCCCCACCCCAGAAUUUGUGAUUCGGUAUGUCUGCUGUGUGGGCAGGAGAAUUUGCACUUCUAACAAGUUCCUAGGGACACUGAUGCUAUUGAUCCAGGGACCACACUUUGAGAACCACUGCACUGUCUUCCUUCCUCCUCUAUAACCCUUGCUCAUUAGAUCUCAGGGGACACAAGGAUUCUAAGAGUAAAAGACAGAGGUCUGAGAGAACACUGCCAGAUCUCUCUGGUUUGUGAAAGGAGAGAAAGCAUCAAUUUCCCAGGACUGGACCAAGGGUUUCCAUGUCAUUCCUGCGUGUGCUGGAGCCCUAACCCCAUUCCAGAAUGCCUUACACAGAAUCAAUGAGCAGUUAUGAGUCGAACUGAAGGAUGAACUGACUAGUCUUGAUGGGACCUCUGUAGGGACUUAUUCAUCCAAAAAGAAUGCCUGACAUUUAUUCUGAAAGGCGUCUUUCUGUAGACCCUCAAUCCUUGUAGUACCAAGUGGCAUUUUUUCCCCAAUCUAUUUCAAAUAUUUUCUAAUUCAUUCUCUGAUGGGUAUAUCAGAGGGAUAUGGUACAUCAAAUUUUUCAAGGCUUUGAAUAAGGGUUAUUGCAAAAAUAACAGCGAGGGGGGAAACCAACACACAGCUAUUUAUCAUGUUGUAAAAAAAGCAAACUUAAACCAGGCUUGCCAAAAUCUCCAAGCUUUAAACACGUGACAGCAUUCCAGAGUUGACCCUAGUGUCUGAGAGGUUAAAUUUUUCUUUAAUUUCCCAAAUAUUUGGACCCCAAGACCCCCAUUCAGCUGCACUUGGCCCUAAAUUGCAAUAAGAAAAAAGCUGAUUUUAUUCAUUCACUUGAUCUUUAUCGGGAGUAUCACAAGCCCCCGUGACAGGAAUUCUCAGCCCUGGCUGCCCACUGGAGUCCCUUGGGGAAGCUUCUAAAAAUCUGUUUGCUCCUGGCCACAUCCCAGAUCAAACACAUCAGAAUCUCUGGGGGUGGGAUCAGACAUGAGCAGUUUUGAAAGUCCCCAGGUGAUGCCAGUGGCGGCCAGGACUGAGAAACCCCUGCUUGGUGAACUCCCACUGCCUUUCUGCUAAUAAUGAUGGUUCUGAAUCUAAAAUAUCUCCAUGAAAUGAGACCCUUGCUUAGAAUCCAGAGACAGCUACUGCCUGGAGCUCUGAUCGGAGGAGUGAUGAGUGGGGAUAGAACUCCUAUUUGUUAAAGGUCUUCUGCUGCCGACCUAGUCCCAGCCACUUAAUAGCCCUGUGAGACGGGGAUUACUGUCUCCACCUUAUAGAGGACAUCCUUCUGGUCAAGGAGGUGGAGUGACUUGCCCAAGGUGGUACAGCUGGAGUUUAAAGCCAGGCUUGUCCCCUUCUUCCUUGGGAAAGCGGAGGAAGGAGACAAGCCUGUGUCCUCCCUGUGACAACUACUGCUUGCUCCCUCCUGCUCAAGGCAGCUCCUCCCUGCCCCUCCCACCUGGACCCCUGUGGCGGGCUUGGAAACAGUUCAUGACCUUGUCCACUUCUGAGGCCUCUGUAGCUAAAGGCCAAGGACAGGACUGCUCUCCUCUCCCUGCUCCCAGGACUUGCUGUCAGGUGGUAGAUGACAAGGGUCUCUGGCUUCUGGCUUCUCCUCCCUUUCUGUGCCCUCACCAGCAAUUAGCAGCAGCUGAGGUCACCACGUGUCCUCUCACAGACCAGGACAGGCCAGAGCCCUGGGUGACCUGGCCAAGCGUGGGCGGAGCUUCUGCCUUAUGCUGCUCCCAAUGUAUACACACUACUCAACAACCUUUCUGCCCAGAACAGGCUACGAUGUUUAUAAUAUAUAUGUAUUUGGUCUUCAUCUUCAUUUCUGGCACAGAGCUCCUAAAACCUUCAGAAUUCCUGUGCUGAGAGGGAUAAAGUUGUCUUGUGUCAUGUUAAUGAGGUGACUUUUAGACCAGCACCUAAGAAUGGGGACUGGUUGCCAGUGAAAGCAACCAGGUGAUCAGAGGGUUGGAAUUUUCAGUCCUGCCUCCAGACCUCUGGGGAGGGGAGAGGGGCUGGAGGUCCAGUUCAGUUGCCCACAGCUGAUGAUUUAAUCAAUGGUGCCUGUAUUUGAAGUCUCCAUAAAAACCCAAAAGGAUGGGCUUCAGAGAGCUUCAGGGUUGGUGAACAUGUGGAGAUGUGGGGAGAAUGGUGCUCUCCAGAGGACACAGCAGCUCUGAGCUUGGCGUCCUCUCCCCUUAACCCUGCCCUAUGCUUCCCUUCCACUUGCCUGUUCCUGAGUUAUAGCCUCUUAUAAUAACCUGGUAAGUAAAAUCAUGAGUUCUGUCAGCUGCUCUAUCAAAUUAACUGAACCCAAGGAGAAAGGUUUUUGGCCCUUCGAUCUAUAGCCAGUCGGUCAGAGGCGCAAGUAACCGCAUGGAGUUGCAGCUGGGGUCUGAAGUGGGUGGAGGGGCAGUCUUGUAGGACUAAACUCUUAACUGUGUGCUCUGAUGCUCUCUCUGGGUAGCGUCAGAAUUGGGUUGAACUGUAGGACACCCAGCCAGGGUCAGAGAAUUGCUUGGUGCUAUGGGGGAACCCACCCCUCCCAACACACAUGCACACUUUGGAAGAUGGUACCAGAAUCUUUAAGGUGUCAAACAAGCUUCACUGGUGGGUCUCAGCGGAGCUUCAAAAUACUGUGAAAGGGAAGAUCUUUGCCCUUGGUUAAUGGCUGAGGAAGCUGAGACUUUGAGACGGCACAGGGCUCGAAGAAGCAGCCUGCAUGGGACCAGGGCCAGGUCCCCCAUCUGUCAGAACCUGUUUAGGUUUCUAAGACCCCCGCUGCUCCCCUGGUUCAGGCUUUCUUUGUCCCCAGGGUCCUCGUACAUCCUUUCCACACCAUCAUCCCAUUCAUCCCUCCAAGUCACAGCUUAGCUGCCCCUUCAUUCAGCAACCUUAAAGGACAUUGAACACAAACACCUUUUUAUUAUGGAAACUUUUGAAAAAAUACAGAAGAGAACAAUAUAAUACCUCCCCUACCCCCAACUACCAACUAACUCCUUAUCUCCUUUUAUCUUCACCCAGCCAGUGUUUCCAGUCCUCCAUAUUUUUGGAGAGCAAAUCCCAGACAUCAUAUCAUUUAAUCUGUAAACAUUUUUAUAUUUAUCUCUGAAAGAUAAGGACUUUUAAAAGUAUCCACAAUACCAUUAUCAUCUUUAACAAGAUAAACAAUAAUUCCUUAAGAUGAGCAAAAGCCUUGAGUUCAAAUUU